rnacentral:lncRNA from 1 species
AGGAUGGCUGCUCUCCCCUCCGCCCCCUUCCCCAAUCCUAGAACCUCCAGCAGUGCAGCAUCUAGAGAUCAGAGGAGGAAGCUCAAGAUCUGGGCAGGAUGGGACCCCGCGGGCCUGGGAGACGAUUGUCGGGAGCAGCCUGAGGAUCACCCGGCUAGCCCGUCGGGGAGGGAAAGAGAACCACAGGCCCUAGACAGGCUGCUCCUUCAGCCCAGCUGCCAGCAUGAAGAAGACAUGCAGAGCAGAGACAUGACCACUGGCCUGCGAAUAAGAGUUCUGGAGGCCAGAAGUCCGAGAUCAAGAGGUGGGCAGGGCUGGCUCCUUCUGAACGCUGGAGGGAGAAUCUGUUCCAGGCCUCUCUCCUAACUUCUGAACUUCUGGGGCAUCUGCUGAAUAUGAUUUGGAAACCGCUGAUCCAGUCCAACAGGAUGCACGGAAACAGCCUGUGUGCAGCCAGGAGCCGAUGACAAGUCCAGCCUCACAGAGAGCCUGGGCCUGUCCCAGCAGAGGACUCCCCACCACCCCAUCUUCCACUCUGGAAACGGUGGGCCCCCCAUCUGCAAAGCAGUUCCAUCUCCUCCAUCCCUGCACCCCAAAACAAACAAACAAACAAACAAACAAAAUGUGGGAGUUAAAGAGGGGUUGAAGAUCCCAUCUGGGCAUUAU